UACGUAGGGGGCAAGCGUUGUCCGGAAUCAUUGGGCGUAAAGCGUGCGUAGGUGGCGCGUUAAGUGUGAUGUUAAAUCGUGGGGCUCAACCCUGUCGGUGCAUCACAUACUGGCGUGCUAGAGGACAGCAGAGGCAAGUGGAAUUAGCAGUGUAGCAGUGAAAUGCGUAGAUAUUGCUAGGAACACCAAUGGCGAAGGCAGCUUGCUGGGCUACUCCUGACACUGAUGUACGAAAGCGUGGGGAGCGAACAGG
rnacentral:rRNA from 1 species